AUAUCUAAGUGUUCAAAAGAUAAUUUUGGUUGCAGUAUGGAAACUAGGUUGGAGGGAACAAGAACAGAUAUGGCACCUCCAGGAUUGGGGGGGGGGUAUUUAGUCCUUCUGAGAAGGUUGCUACUGGCUUGGAUUAGGUGGCAUCAGUGUAGAAGAAUGACAGUUGAAGACCUUGAGACAUAUUCAGGAAAUAGAAUCAGUAGGAUUUGGGGUUUUAGCCCAAGGUGGAGGGAAUUGGGGAGAAAGGUUGUUGACGGCUCUGACAAUUCUGAUUGGUCAUUAAUUGGGGAUGGAUGGUGGUGGGCAAGGGACCACUCAGGAGAACCAGAAGGGGAAUCAGAAGGCUGGUAGCAGGACAGUGAAGAGGUGACUUUAUCUAACAGGAAGGGAUUACUCCUCUGUUAAAGUGCGUUUGAAGAAGGACACAAAACUCCCAUUUAGUGAGUGGACAGAGCCUACAUAUUUUUCAUGGAAGGAUGCAGAAUGAGGACAGAUGAUGCAGUCAGAGUAAAGGGAUCUUAGAUCCCAUACAUCCCAGCAAACCAUAAGUAUAUGCAGGAGGAGCUGAGGCAGUUGCGAGUAAGGACAGUUUGGGGACUGGAUGCCACGUGGUCAUCUCUCCUGAUUGGCUGUGAUAGAGUCCCUGCCUUUACAUUUUCCCCACAUGACUUUCUCCUGAAUCACAGAUAUGAUUGUGUCUUAGAAUCCUCUUGCUUAACUUCUCUGAUGACUCUUUGUUAUCUCAAGUUUCACUUAUGUCACUACCUCUCCACUUUCUCUCUCAUCUGCAGAUGCUAACCCAUUUGUAAGGUGAAUCUGGCCAAGGUAAUAAAGAGGUCAGUAUGUGUUGCUGUGGUCCUAGGGGGGCAGAUUGUGGCAGGUCAUGGCAUGGCAUUUCCAUCUCACUGAAAGAAAUGGAAAACUUCUGGGCUCUGUAGUUAGACACAAGUAGGGGGAGAUGGCUCCUGGCACAGCAGUGAUUUAGAGCAUGGAACCUGAACUUUGCCCAGGAUGAUAUGACUUGCUUAAUAGUCCAAGUUUUGCCUUUUAUGGUGGUUUAAGUUCCUGGAUUCUAAGGUUGUUGGAGGUAGUAGUGAGACCAUAGUCCAGAGACCCCUUGUUCUGGUGGAUGUCUUACUUCAUAGGGGAGUCCAUGACCAUGAAAUUCUGGCCAGACCUUUGUGAGAAAACAAGGGACACAAAGGAGGGCUUGGCUCUCAUCUGUAUCCUUUGGCUUGUUCCCAACACUGGCACUGCCUAUUUGUUUCUUUUAGAGUAAACCAAAGAAGCCACCUGUUUUCAUGGGGUCUUUGGCAAGACUUGUGAGCACAGUCCAUAUUGCUUUGGGGCCCCAGCAUCACAGGGUCUUCUACACUGCAGUGGUGAACAUAGUAUCAUAGUUAAGGUGUUGGUGGCUGCUGUAAGAGACAAAUCCCCAAAUCUCUGCUUCCCAGAGUCAUUCAGGGACUCAGAGAGUUUGCUAGUUUUAACAUGUAUCCACUGGCAAAUAGAGAAAGAAACAGCAUGGAGAAUGCAUACCCACUUCUUUUAGCCAUUCAAACUGGAAAGGGCGUACAUUACUUUUACUUCACUAGUUAGGAUUAGUCACAUGGUCCUACCUAGAUGCAAAUGGGGAUAGAGAAUGAAGUCCAUGUUUUGACAACUGCUUAGCAACACUUCUUGUCUAGGAAAGGAGAAUAUGAAUCUGAUGGACCACUAACUCUAUCACACACAGCAAUAUUAUAGUACACCUUCUGUGUCGUUGGUCUUAAGGGCUCUUAGAGACUGUGCCCUUUGCAGGGAUAGCAGUGCUCUCGAGGUAUUGCUCAGGUAAAACACAUCAAAAAGGAGGAACUAUACUGGGAAGGAUUAUUUAUCAACUUAUGUAUUUUAUUUCCGGGAAUUCCAAGAAGUAACUGGAUGAGAAAUCUGGAAGCUUGAGGUCUUAUGUCAUGUUGGGGUAAGGCUCUGGGGAAAGAAGUAUUGAUGAGGCUUGAGGAAAUUUAGGUGACAUGUAAUAAGAAUUCUCCAGUGUUUUGUCAGGGAAGAUUCCCCAAAUUAUUUAAGUAGAAAUAUCCCUGGAAUAUAGGAGAAUAACUCAUCAGUUUGACAUUGUUAGAAACAUCCCUUGAAAACAUGCUACUGUCUUGGCUGUCAUUCUGUCAUUGCAAGGCAAACUUCUGAUCAGUGGUGGCCUUCUGGGAGUUCCUACUCAGGAUGAUGGGACCUCCUUGUGUCGAUGGCAGGCUCUUAGUCAUAGAUAUUCCUGUUGUGUAUGAAUAUAUACCUGGACACUUGCAGGUACAAAUUGAUCUUCUGUUUGUUAAGAAGGACUGAGUUACUUCUUAAACACAUCUGUACUGCAUAACCGAAGACCAGAGCUUGCUUUGGGUCACUUUUUGAAGCUCAGCCAGAAAAAGCCCUUAUUUCUUUCGUAGAUGUCACUUGAUACCCAGGGAGUAUACCAGUCUCAAUAAGGAUUCUUGAAAGGCUGAGCAUUCAGAUUACAUGUCCAGAAUUCUCAUUACUUCCCUCUGCAUUUGGGAGUGAAUAGUCAAUAAUCUAUUACUGAAUGGAUUGCUGUAAAUUUUAAGAUGUUAUGCUAUGCUAUAUAGAGAUUAAAACAAUAAUAAAACAACAGCAAUGAUGAUAGGCAGCCAGCAUUUACUUAUCACUCAUUUUGGCCAGGUGAUUUAAGUACACAGUACUUUAUAAACUAUGUAUUGUUGUCAUCUCUAUUUUAUAGAUGUAAAAACUAUGGCAGUUCUUCUGAAGUGGUAUCAUAGAUAUAUGGUUAAAUCAGGGCUAAAUCUGUGGUUGUUGGGUCUAGCAUGUGACUUCUGCAGAACCCCUGGGUUAGAACCAGUUGGUGGGAGACUGGGAACAUGCCAAAAUGUGGGUUUUCUGAUUCUCAUCAGUUUAAUGGUUUCAAUAAUAAUUCUGUUUUUUUUUUUUUUGGCAGCCUUUUGUUUUUCUGGAAUGUACCCUUAACAUAGAAAAGGGAUUAUGUACCCUAGAGGGUUUGAAGAUUUUUGGGGUUUAAUCUGAAGCAGCUAUAGCAGGUAGGAAAUGUCUUCGAAGUGUCUUUUUAAAAUCUUAACCAGUCAUAUGAAUAUUGCUUUCUCUUCCAUAAUCAGAAUGACUAUUUUUAACAUAAAAACAUUUAUCCUUGCUAAACAUCCAUAUAAAAUUGAUGCUCCAGAAAAUAUAGACCAUGUUAUUUUGUGGCUUAAUGUGCUCCCUGGUAAGAUGCAGGACACUGCUAGAGGUAUGUAGUUUCCAGCUUGAGAAGCUUCAAUACAUGGUUUGGUAAACUAGAAGUUAUAGAUGUAUCAGCUUUCAGGGACUGGGGUGGGAACAUGGCUGCCUGGGCAAGCUUCAGGACCCUGCUGGGCUGUGUUGUAUUGUGAUUCAUCAGCAUUAGGAGAAUUACUGUUUGCUUCCAAAAAUGCAACCCAUAUUUCUGUUUUUGGAGAUGAAUUUGGCAGCAGAAUACCAGGUCAUUCCUCUUUGCAGAGCAGGUUGAAAAGGUUGUUUGCAUGGUGACACAGAUGGGAAGAUACACAGGGGAACAGGAGAUUUUAGGCAGUGGAAUAUAUUUGUGUUGAAUAUUUCUGCCGUGUCUUCAGCAACAUAGUCUUUUGCCAUACCAAUGGUUUUAUGGGACUCUGGAAAAUAAACAACCAGGAGAGAUCAAUAAGUACAUUAGUAAUAAAUGUGUCUUUACUUGGUAAGGCCAUCCAUUGUGCUAAGCCCAAUCUUAAGUGUUGGUUUAAAAUAUUAGCCUUGUGAAAGCAUUCUAGAAAUAGUCAAUAGAAAUAAGGGGCAGCCAGCAUCUUUAUAUCUGUUAGUGUGAUCUUUCAUACUUAUGAAUGUAAACAGACCCUUCCAUAAACUUUUAGAAAAAGAAAGUCCCCACUGAUAACAGGGAAGACUGCCUUUUAAAAGUCAAUUUUAUUGAAGAAUAGUUUUCAUGCAAUACAAUUUGCCAAUUUAAAUUGUACAGUUUCACUUUUAACAAAUAUAUGUACCUAUGUAAAUACCACCACAGUUAAGAUUUAGAACAUUUCCAUUGCUGGAAGUUUUCUCUGGCAUCUUUGCAAUCAAUUCUCCAGCCCAAGGAGACCUGAUCUACUUUCUUGUCACUGUACAUGAGUUUCACCAUAUACAUGAAAUCAUAUAGUAUUAAUCUUUUAUGUCUGGCUUCUUAGUAUCAUCUUUUUAAGAUUUCUGUUAUUGAGUAUAUCAGUAAUUCAUUAUUUUUUUAUUGCUGAUUAGUAUUCCAUUGUGGGGUAUAACAUAAUCUGUUCAUCCAUUCACCUGUUGAUGGACAUUUGGUUUGUUUCCAGCUGAGAACUUGCACUUUUUGAAACAGCUCAUUAGGAAGAUGUAAAAACAAGUCAGAGGCUGGGAAAAUAGAUAUAUCUCUAUGUGUGUGCAUAUGUGUGUGUGCAUGUGCAUAUGUAUAUAUAUGACAAAAGACUUGAAUAUGGAAUAUAUAAAGAAAUAUUACAACUUUAUAAUGAGAAGACAACCCAGUUAGGAAAUAACCAAAAGAUCAGAACAAAACUUCAUAAAAGGAGAU
rnacentral:lncRNA from 1 species